GACGAACGCUGGCGGCGUGCUUAACACAUGCAAGUCGAACGAAGUGGCGAACGGGUGAGUAACGCGUAAUCAACCUGCCCUUCAGAGGGGGACAACAGUUGGAAACGACUGAUAAUACCGCAUACUGAAGGAGGGGAUUGCGUCUGCUUAGCUAGUUGGAGGGGUAACGGCCCACCAAGGCGAUGAUCAGUAGCCGGGCUUAGAGGAUGAACGGCCAAAUUUGGACUGGGACAAGGCCAAGACGCCUACGGGAGGCAGCAGUGGGGAAUCUGCCGCAAUUGAGGAAAGUCUGACGGAGCAACGCCGCGGGAGUGAUGACGGCCGUCGGGUUGGAAAGCUCUGUUAAUCGGGACGCGGUACCGGAAGAGAAAGCCACGGCUAACUACGUGCCAGCCGCCGCGGUAAUAC
rnacentral:rRNA from 1 species